AUUGAACGCUGGCGGAAUGCUUUACACAUGCAAGUCGAACGGUAGAGGGGGCAACCCCUCGAGAGUGGCGAACGGGUGAGUAAUAUAUCGGAACGUGCCCAGUCGUGGGGGAUAACGUAGCGAAAGUUACGCUAAUACCGCAUACGAUCUAAGGAUGAAAGCCGGGGAUCGCAAGACCUCGCGCGAUUGGAGCGGCCGAUAUCAGAUAGGUAGUUGGUGGGGUAAAGGAUCACCAAGCCAACGAUCUGUAGCUGGUCUGAGAGGACGACCAGCCACACUGGAACUGAGACACGGUCCAGACUCCUACGGGAGGCAGCAGUGGGGAAUUUUGGACAAUGGGCGAAAGCCUGAUCCAGCCAUUCCGCGUGCAGGAUGAAGGCCCUCGGGUUGUAAACUGCUUUUGUACAGAACGAAAAGGUUUCUACUAAUACUAGGAGCUCAUGACGGUACUGUAAGAAUAAGCACCGGCUAACUACGUGCCAGCCGCCGCCGUAA
rnacentral:rRNA from 1 species